rnacentral:lncRNA from 1 species
GAAAUCCAAAGAGAGCCUAUCGAUCGGUCCUAUCCUCGUUGGUAACAGGACCCUCAUUGCUAGUCCGGCCUUAGGCCAUGCCGAACCCACCUUCGGCCCCCUUCCAGACUGCGCCAAGAUCGCCUUCGAACCCCUUCGUCGUGCCCCUGUCCGCACCGAAGUCAUGCAUCCUUGAUAAUUUCGGACCCCCCUUCCGUACAUCCAUCUCUUG